UCAAAAAAAGAAAAAAGAAAAAAAAGAGCUAUUUGAAUCUCGUUUCCUGAAAGCUGUUUUUUCUUCCUUCCGGAAAAGAAGCUAUUUGAAUCUUCUUUUCUUGUAAGAACUAGAAAGGCAAUGCAGAGUGGAGCGAUGGAAGCAGCGAAGACUAACAUGGUAGAAAAUCAAGAUGGUCGGAAGCAUCGGAAGCUCUUGCCCGAUUCCGAAUCAGAGCCUCCGGAAACAUUUGCCCGGAAUUAUCAGUUAGAAGCUCUGGAGAAGGCAGUGAAGCAGAACACGAUCGUGUUCCUGGAGACUGGUUCCGGGAAGACUUUGAUUGCGAUCAUGCUUCUGCGGUCUUAUGCUUAUCAGCUGAGGAAGCCUUCUGAUUUCAUUGCUGUUUUCUUGGUUCCGACAGUCGUCUUGGUUAAUCAACAAGCCGAAGUUGUGGAAAUGCACACAGACUUGAAAGUUGGUAGAUUCUGGGGUGAAAUGGGAGUUGAUUUUUGGGAUGCUAAGACUUGGCAUGAGCAUUUGGAGAAAUAUGAGGUAUUUGUAAUGACACCUCAAAUUCUGCUUGACAACCUACGGCAUAGCGUUUUCAAGCUAGACAGGAUAAAAGUGUUAAUAUUUGAUGAAUGCCAUCAUGCGCGAGGUAGAAGCCCAUACGCUUGUAUUAUGACGGAGUUCUAUCAUAGACAAUUACGCUCCAAUUCUACUUUGCUCCCUAGGAUCCUUGGUAUGACUGCUUCACCAAUAAAUUCGAAAGGCUCAAGCUUACGGGCUGUUUAUGGGGCGAAAAUUCGAGAACUUGAGACUCUCAUGAAUUCAAAGGUAUUUACUGUUACAAAUGAAGCAGUGUUGGCCAAGUUCGUACCAUUUUCAACACCAAAAUUAAAGCUUUAUAAACAUGUGGACAUGCCAUAUGCUUUAUUUGUGUCUUUAGCUGAUGAUCUAAAGACUUUGAAAACUAAGUAUCUCCGAGCUGUGCAAAGGUUGCAAGUCAAUGAUAAUGCAAAGGAGAGUGCAAAAGAGAAGAUCGGCAAGUUAUUUUUAACUUUUAUGUACUGUGUAACAGAACUGGGUCUCUGGCCGGCUUUAAAGGCGGCUGAGACUCUAUCAAGCAGUGAGAAUGAUUUUUUCUUCUGGGGGCAGUUGAAGGAUGGACUUGGUGAGAGAACAGUCAGAAAUUUUAGUCAAGAUGCAUUUAUGGUGUUCUCGAAGUACAUACCAUAUGGUCCAGAAUGGUGUGUUGGUGAUGAUCUUAGCUCGUAUUUAGAUGCUGGCUUUCUAACUGCCAAAGUGGAUUGUCUCAUCCAGUCACUUUUGGAGUACAGGAACGUGACGGACUUAAGAUGUAUAAUUUUUGUGGAAAGGGUCAUUGCAGCGAGUGUUCUAAACUCUCUGUUGAGUCAGGUGUCAAGACUUUCCUGCUGGAAGACAUCUUACAUGGCUGGGAAUCGGUUAGGAUUACAAUCCCAAACUAGAAAAGAUCAAACGAAAAUUGUCAAUGCAUUUCGUGAUGGCUCUGUGAAUAUCAUAGUUGCCACCCAGAUUCUGGAGGAGGGUUUGGAUGUGCAGAGUUGCAAGUUGGUCGUUCGAUUUGACCCAUCACCUACUGUUUGUAGUUUUAUACAGUCACGUGGUCGUGCCAGGAUGCAAGGAUCGGACUAUUUAUUACUUAUCAGAAGUGGGGAUUCUUCAACUCUCUCAAGGGUAAAGAACUAUCUUACUAGUGGAGAUAUUAUGCAUGAGGAAUCCAUCCGACAAGCUUCCAUUCCUUGUUUGCCUCUUGAAACCGAAAUGUGCAACGAGGACUUCUACUGUGUCAACACUACUGGAGCAAUUGUGACUUUAAGCUCAAGUGUGGCUUUGAUAUAUUUCUACUGUUCACGGCUUCCCUCUGAUCAGUAUUUUAGUCCAUCCCCUAGGUUUGAUAUUAACAAAGAGGACAAAUGUUGUACCUUACAUCUUCCUAAAAGCUGUCCAAUUCAAACAAUUGUUGUACAUGGGCAACAUGAUAUGCUGAAGCAAACUGCUUGCCUUGAAGCAUGCAAGAAGCUUCGUGAGAUUGGGGCCCUAACUGAUUAUCUCUUACCAGAGCUGGAUGAGACAAAAGCAAAGGAUGGCCAAGAAACUGGGGGUGUUUCAUAUGAGGAUGAACAAGUUGAUUAUUUCCCAGGAGAAUUGGUUGGCCACUGGCUGUCCUUUUCUGAGAAGGGGUUGUACUAUUGCUACUCUCUGAGCUUCAAGCGGAAUUUCAAUUAUGAUGUUCCUUUCAGAGAUAUUGUUCUGGUUGUAAAGUGUGACCUGGGAGCUGAAUUGGCAAGUACUAAUUUUCAGAUGGAAAUUGAUAGGGGUUCUGUGACUCUAAAUAUGGAGUAUGUUGGUGUCAUUCACCUCAAUGCUGACCAGGUCCUUGUUGCUAGAAGAUUUCAGACAUCCAUUCUCAGAAUCCUGAUAGACCGUAAUUUGAGUAGACUGAAGGAUGCUUUGGAAGGAGUUCAACACGAAACAGUUUCAAGGAUUGCCUAUUUACUGCUCCCAUCAGUUUUUAGCAAUCAGAACUCUGUGAAGAUUGAUUGGGAAUGUGUUAGGUCUAUCUUAUUUUCUUCUGUAUUAGUUCGCUCAGCUGGUACAGUUGGUGGAAAUGCUGUGCACCAUCGUUGUCUCCCCAGUGAUAUUUGUCGUAGGAUUCAGACUAAAGAUGCUGUUGUAUACAGUUGUAUCCUCAGGAAUGCUUUAGUGUUCACUCCCCACAAUGGUCAUAUAUAUUGCAUUACUGGCAUCUUAGAUGACCUCGAUGGAAACUCAAUUUUGAAGUUGAGAGGGGGAGAGGCUCUUACGUACAAGGCAUAUUAUGAAUCCAAGCACGGCAUCACUCUGCGUUAUGAAAGAGAAUCACUACUUCAGGGGAAACAUCUUUUUACUCCACAAAAUUGGCUUCGUAAGGUUACUCUUCGGAAGGAGAAAGAAUCAAGUAAUGUUGUUGAAUUGCCUCCAGAACUUUGUGUGAUCAUCAUGGCCCCCAUCUCCAUUUCUAUCUUGUACUCGUUUUCCUUCAUUCCAUCGAUCAUGCAUCGUAUUGAGACGAUGCUUCUUGCGAUUCAGUUACAGAAUCUGCAAACGAAUCACUACAUGCAAAAUGUUAUUGUUCCAGCCAACAAGGUUAUGGAAGCACUUACCACCAAAAAAUGUCAAGAGGAAUUUUCUUUGGAGUCAUUGGAGACUCUUGGUGACUCUUUUCUCAAAUAUGCAGCAAGUCAACAACUAUUCAGAGAUCAUGAGCAUCAUCAUGAGGGCCUUCUUAGUGCUAAGAAAGAGAAAAUGAUAUCAAACGCUGCCCUUUGUGAGUUGGGAUGCAAACAGAAACUGCAGGGCUUUAUUCGUAAUGAGUGUUUUGACCCUAAACAUUGGACUGUGCCUGGAGAUUUUUCUGGACAUUUCUGGGAGGAUGAAAUGUUCAAUCCCACUUCCAAGAAUAUUUAUAACAAGGGAACAAGGCAUAUAAAAAGGAAGGUAGUUGCUGAUGUUGUUGAAGCACUGAUCGGUGCAUACCUUAGCGUAGGAGGUGAAAUGUCAGCAUUAUUUUUCAUGGAGUGGCUUGGUAUGAAGGUCAACUUUGUCGACAAAAUUCCAGAAGACAGACCAUUGCUGGUGAAACCUGAGAAUUAUGUGAAUAUUAGCCAUCUUGAAUUGCUGUUACACUAUUCAUUUCGUGACCCAUCGUUGCUGGUUGAAGCAUUGACUCAUGGGUCAUAUCUGGUUCCACAUAUCCCAAGAUGUUAUCAGCGCCUGGAGUUUCUUGGGGAUUCUGUUUUGGACUAUCUCAUUACGGUACACCUAUACAACAAAUAUCCUGGCUUGUCACCUGGGCUACUGACAGACCUCAGAUCUGCAUCUGUAAACAAUGAUUGCUAUGCGCAUGCGGCAGUAAAGGCUGGUCUGAAUAAGCACAUUCUCCAUGCGUCGUACGAGUUGCACAGGCAAAUUACGCUCUUCGUCGACAAUUUUGAACAGUCAUUUUCGGGCUCAUCAUUUGGGUGGGAAGCAGGGACAGCUUUACCUAAGGUGCUCGGAGACGUGAUCGAAUCCAUCGCUGGGGCAAUUCUCAUUGAUUCUGGAUUUAACAAGGAUGCUGUUUGGAAGAGUAUUAGGCCUCUUCUAGAACCAUUGGUCACAUUGGAAACUCUAAAAUAUGAGCCAGUUAGAGAGCUUGAAGACCUCUGUGCGAGAAAAUCAUAUGAGAAGCAAUUCGUUAAGACCUUCCAGAAUGGCAUUGCUUCUAUUACAGUUGAAGUCAAAGCUGAUGGAGUUACAUACACAGAAACAAGGACUGCUGCCAAUAAGAAACUGGCCAAGAAAUCUGCUGCAAAAGCUGUAUUAGGGUCAUUGAAGGCAAGCAUUCCCGGAAUCUGAGUCACAAAGGUUCUUGGUAGCCCCACAUGCAGCAUGGAAGCCAACUUGACAAGUGUGUGGGACAUCUGAUCGGUGUAUAUGCUGAGCCCCACCCUGAAAAUGGGCCUCAUCUGUCAAUUAAGAGAUCUCCAAGUUGGCGGUACAGUAAAUUAAUGUGUUUUUGUAACCCAAACUGACAUUCCAAUCGAACUUAAAAAGGCAUCCAACAGACAUCCAACAACCUGUUAAGGUAUUCUUCAAAUGAGCAGCAAGAAGCAUCGUGAGACGUUCAUCAUCUCAUGAUUGUCAUCCUCCACACAGCCUCAUCUCUGUCAUCAAGAGUCUCAAUUCCAUGAUUCACUCGACAGAAGUUCUAUGAGAAGCUGCCCACCUGACAUCAACCCUCUUUACCCAGGCUUUGUAUUGGCUGUCGCACCACUGCUUGGCAAUGUAAGACAUCAUUUUAUUUCAAUUUUGCAUUGUAAUUAAUUUAUCUUGAUAAAGUUGGACUGCUGUAUGGAUUAUUUAUUUAUUUAUUUAUUGAAUGACAAAAAGAUUAAUUUGGGGUUUUUGGCUUGCUAUCA